rnacentral:lncRNA from 1 species
UCUAGUUGAGUUUUUGCUGUUUCUGGUAAGUGUUUUUUUCGCAAUUGAGAUUUAAAAGACACUGAAAUAAAGGGGGAUGCGUGCGUUAUGACUUUUUUUUUGCGUUUUGUGGGGAUUUCUCUUAGUUGCACACAAAGCGAUACUCUUGAUUUUUUUUUAUGUGGGUGAGGUUGUACAUUUCGUUAAUUUAAGUUGCAUUCAUUUGAAAACUUCCCUCAUGCUUUUGAUGAGUCUUUUGUAGACGAAACGCGCGUCUGGCGUAUAUAUAAAAUUUAGUCCUGGUAUCUUUGAUGAGUUUAUUUACUAGUAUGCGAAAUCUAUCAAAACCACGAAAUCAUCUAUUAACAAAAAAAUCAGUUUUUAUUAUUACUUGAAAAUGUAUACUCUUGAAAAUUUUUUUUUUCCAUAGGAACUUACCCCGUCAUAUUUAUUUUACAUGUUUGAUAAAUUUAAAAUCAUUACUAAACAAAGGUUCCAACUUUUCAGGCAAACUUGGCUACUAUUCUUAUGUCCAUUUUGUUCAUAUAUAGCUCAUGAGGGCCUGGGGUUCAAGUAUUUAGACCUCCUUAAGUUUUAAAUUUGCAGAUUCUGGCUUUUCAGAUGGAGGUAAAUCUAACUUAAUGAGACCACGGAUUUGCAUGUGUUGAGCGGAAAAUUUAAUUGUCUAAUUUUAUAUUACUUCAGCAUAUUAUAUUUGAUUAUGAAUGUCAAAGGAUUAUUCAAAAGGACACUAGAUUUUAUCAAAACCAUACUUAAUUGUUUCUAAUAUAAUUGAAAAAAUCGAACAAUAAAGGAAUUAUGUAAUGAAAUAAUGUUUGACUGACAAUAUAGGACUUGAAAGGUUUAAGUUAUUUAAAGUUUAAAUUGCUUUAUUGUCAUUAAACAAUGCAUUGAUAAACAGUUAAGGGGGCUCGCGGGUCUAAAUCAAUUUUUUUUAUUUAAUAUAGGAUUUCUCUAUAUUUUUCUAUAAAUGAACUUUAUCUUAUACUUACUAGAAAAAUGGAAUAAAAAAAUGGGGUCACCGUUCAUUUACGCUCACAAUCGGCCUUCGAAAGAAGCAUACAUUUUGUUAAUCCUUUUUUUGUUGAACUAAUAGGAGAAAUAGCGGUAAUAUCGAAAUAAAAAAAGAACUUAAUUACAGAAAUCGCUUAAAUUUUACAAUUAUUUAGUUUAUGUACAGCUUAUUCGAAAACAAUAAUAAAAAAUAUAGGUCACCGAUGAGUUAAAAAAGACAUUUCAAUUUUAAUGUCGAAAAAUGGCAUUUUUGCACCAAAGGGAGAUAAUUUGGAGCUUUUUCAAAGAUAUCUACAUUUUAAAAGUCACCUGGUGCCAAUUCCAAUUGAUUUUUUGGAAUGAUUUUUGUACCGUAUGAUAAAGUAACAACUACUAAAGGUAAUAAAUAAAAUUUGUAAUAAAAAAAUAAUGUUUAAUUUUUUUUUGAAAAUCUUAGACCCGCGAGCCUCCUUAAAUGAAACAAUUCAUUAAACAAUAAUCACAAAAUAUCAAUAUAAAAUCUUUGUUUUAAACAGAAGUUAUGAAAAAAAUCAACGAGGCGUAUAAGUAUAAAAGUAUAAAAGUCCUCUUUCUUUUUUUCAAAUGAUCGAGUUUUAUAAACGACCAUAUCUAAUUUCACUUGUAUUUUUGUUAAAUGAUUCAACUUUGAUGUAAAGCUUUCUCUUCUGCUUAGUGAUUACUUCAAAACAACGUACCACGAAGUCCAUUUAUUAAUAAUUUAAUAAGUCAUUUUGUGCAUAGCUUCAAUCCAUUUCCAGCAAUUAAAUGUACAAACCUCAUCUAAAGCAAAUAGUCAUGAAACCCAAACAAGCUUGCAUUAAAUACCCUUAAACAUGUAUUAAGAGAGAUAAGAAAAAAAAGAAACUACGAAAGUUGAAAGCACACUUUUUUAUUUCUAUUCGCAGUUUAAUUAUGCUCAUAAUCCCGUCAAUCACGUCAAUAAUGGUUCAUUUAAUGAGUACAAUACAAUACAAUACAAUAUGCUUUAUUUCAAAAACACUCCGUCACAUUGACAUGUGAAACAAGAGGUAAAUUACAAAAUACAAUCACAUACAAUUAAAGAAAUAAAUAAAAUAAAUAAAUAAGAGUAAGUAAGCAAAAGGAACAAAUUGACCUUUCUUUAAGAAUUUGAUAUUUAGGUUGUAAUUAUCCUUUAAGAUCAUUUAACAAAUGUCAAUCAGAAGAAAAUAAUAAAAGAGGUGUUCCGCUGAGUUGAUUAGUAAAUUUAAUCAUUUCAAGAGAUGUUGUACUAGUAUUUCAUUUUAUGCUUUUCAAAUUCAUUCUCCUAAAACCGUGUUUGAUGAAGUACCCUUCAAAAAUGUGUUUACGAUAGAAAAUAUAUCAUUAUAUAAUAAAUUAGAAACAAACAGUGCGGUUACCGAUUAUGAAAUUUCAUGAAAUCUAUUAAGAAUAUAUGAAAAUCAAGAUAAAAGAAAACAGCUUUCGGAUUAGCAAAAAAAAAAAAGAAAUACGUGUGAUAGCUUUGCUGUAAAAUUUGUAUGCCGGGGAAAUAAUUCUUAAGCACUAUUGACAUAUUCACAUGGCCAUAAAAGAGGGAGGUUUGGCAUGCCACAAAACCAGGUUCAAUCCACCAUUUCUUCCUUUAAAAAUGUCCUGUACCAAUUCAGGAAUAUGGCCAUUGUUGUAUUAUAGUUUGUUUCUGUGUGUGUUACAUUUUAACGUUGUGUUUCCGUUGUGUCGUUUGUUUCCACUUAUUUUUGAGUGUGAAUUCACAUUACUAUUAGACAUGUCACGGUAUUUAUCUAUCCCAAAUUCAUGUAUUUGGUUUUGAUGUUAUAUUUGUUAUCAUCAUAGGAUUUUGUCUAAUGCUUAGUCCGUUUCUGUGUGUGUGUGUGUGUGUUACAUUUUAAUGUUGUGUCGUUGUUCUCCUCUUAUAUUUAAUGCGUUGCCCUCAGUUUUAGUUUGUUACCCCGAUUUUGUUUUUUUGUCCAUGGAUUUAUGAGUUUUGAACAGCGGUAUACUACUGUUACCUUUAUUUAUUCAUCCAUCUUAUAUUGAUUUUUUCAAAAAGGAACUAUCCCCUUGUUCAAAUCUGAAUUACUAUUACUAUAUCUAAAUAAUGUUACGUUGCACAUUUCAAUAAACGCUUAAGAUAUAGCUAGAAAGGGAGAUAAUUCAAUUACACUUAAAAUUAAACUGUUAGUUGUUACAAUGAAAUAUUUGGCUGACUUGCUUCUCGCAACGAUAUUCAAAAUGAAAAGAGAUGCAAACUAUACAAAUGGCAAUAAUUUCAUUUUGGAUGUAACACGUCUUCUGAUUGGCUGACGUUAUUUUGUUAUGAGCCCAUAGACAUAAUUUAGUCAUGUGACCGUGACGUCAUUGAUCAACGUUUUUUCAUGGUUUUUUUACGGUUUAAAAAUGGAAUUUAGAAUUAAAUUAUAAGAAAUGACUGUAAUAUUUUUUCUGUCUAUUCGAAAUAACAUAAAAAAUUUGGUGCACACUGUUAAAUAACCCACUACGCGCGUUAUUCAGUGUGCACCAAAUUUUUUAUGUUAUUUCUUCAUAGACAGAAAACAUAUUACAGUCAUUCCUUAAAUGUACUAUUAUUUCAAAACAAUGUAUUGUAUCCAUAUUCAUAUUAAAGUACAUUUCCCGUGAAAUAUCGAAAUAAGAGUUGUCGUAUCUAAUGAAGAAUUUUGAAUAAUCCAUGCUCAAGGUGCAUUAAAAAGUGUCAUUUCUUCAGCUUUAAGGCAUCUAUUCCCUUCUUUUCUGUUUAAAUACAAUCAUUCUUACAUCCAGUUUUCGAAAGCGGCGGAGGAUACCAAAUGGGCAAACAAAAAGAGGAUGAGGAACCGACAAAACUAUGUAAAAAAAAUCGAAGAAAAGAUGAAACAUAAAAGCGAAAACUAACCAAUCAAAAAAUAGGGGAGAUCUCAGGUAAAUAGACAGAUAGGAUCUGCCUUAAUUGGUUAUAUGUAUUAGGUUUAAAGUAUGACCCCUAUGCCUGGUUCGGUUUAUUUCAAGAUAAAUAAAACACACGGUUAAUUUUAUAUUAAUAAGAGGAUGUGGAAUGCCUUCAAUUAAGACAAAUAUCCAUAAAGACCAGAGGACAAAGUUGUGAACAAUAACACGUGAUCGUAUACGGCUUUCAGUAAAGAGCACAACCCAUACCGUUUAAUAAUCUCAACAAGACUCUAAUAUAACAAAAUGUAAAACAAUUCGAAUGAACAAAACAACUGCUUCAUCUAUACUAAAACACUUAAAAAUAAACAAGUAUGACAGACGGCAACCACUGGAUUGCAGAUUUCCUAACCAUGUAAAAUGGUGCAAUAUCACAUCAUAAAGAACUGACUCAUCGGAUUGAAACUUACCCAAACAGACAAAGGACACACACGAUACAUAUAGGAACUGAAAGCAAGUUCAAAUCUAAUUUAAUCUACCAAAUCAAUCAUGUUCUCCCAAACUAAAAUAUAAAUCAGGACGCAUCCGAUUGAAUUAGUAUAUAGACGUCACGAGCAGUUUCGGAAAAGGAUUACCUUGUGCAAUGUAGAGUUAUAAGUAUCGACAUGAUUUAGGACAAUCAGUGCUAAUACUUGGAUAGCAAUACAUGUUUAGUUAUAUAUUUACCUGUUAAAAUAAAACUCAUUUUAGUACCUAUAAAACAAUAGUAAAGAUCUUACUACUAAGCUUAAAAGACAACCUUUAAUAAGUGUCAUACCAAACACAACCCAAAAGCAUUUAGCAUUAUAAUAUUUGACUUGAUAAAUUGAUGGUCUUCUGUUUAUUACGGUGGUAACAGAUUUUAUAUUUAAAUUUAGAAAUGUGAAGUGAUUACGACGGGGCCUUUAAUUGGUGGGGGAAUACCCUAAAAAAUAUUAAGGCUGAUACUGUGCAACCAAGUUACAGGACUAAGUUUUUUCAUUAAACUCAUAGUCAUGUCGCAAGAGAACAUAAAACGUAUUUCCCAAAAUUCAGUGUUUAUGCUCUUUGGUAUUGGUACAGAGCAAAGUAAUUUCCUGUAUAUGUCUAAUUGUAACAGUCUAAUAGUCUUGGGUGUGAUAAAUGACCUGAAGACAAAUUAUUUCAUUACAGACACAUAUGUUCUAAAGAGAACAUUACACUCUGUGUCUUUUGUUUUAGAUUUCACUGAUAACUGCGGCAUUGGUCAGACAAAGCAAAAACAUUGAUUCAUUGACAAUCAAAUUUUUCAAUUUUCACAGCUUUCUUAAUAUUUAAACUUAAUUUUAACUUCUUAGAAACCAUGUUUAUCCCGAAUUGUACAUGUAUCACCUUUCUACAUGCCAAUUUUCAACCAAUGUUUGAAGUCUUGUAUUAAAAAACCAACGUUCAGAAGUUAACUUCUACUAAAAAUAACCUAUGAUUUUCUGAAAAAUCUAUAAUAAGUAUACUAUGGAGCGCACUAAUCCUCAAUUUUAAAUGCAAACUUAUGGCUCAGUAAAUUUUGGCUCAAAAUGAUUUCAAUAUAUUUCUCCCUCAUCAACAGUUUCAUUUCUGCAAAUUUGUUGGUUAGUUGAAGUUAACAGCGACAUCAAACUAGCUAUUUUUGGUCAGGGAUUGAUUAAUUGAUUGAUUGGUGUUUAACGCCACUUUCAACACUUUCAUGCUAUUUCGUGGCGGUCAGUUUUUAUUGGUGGUGGGAGCCAAAGUGCCCGGAGAGAACCACCGACGUUCGGUAGGAAAACUGACAUUGCAAGUCGAUUAAGAUUGGGGUCGAGUGCACCUGCCCCGUGGUGGAUUCGAACUUACAACCUCAGCGUUCACUGGCUAGUGAUAUAGUAGUUGGACUUUUUGUCAGAGAAGGACUACUUUUACAUACGUUCUUAAUUGGAGUAAGUGAAUUGAUGGUCUGACACCUUAAUAACGGAGUAUUCACAAAAAAAGAUAUUAAUUAUUUGUUAUCUUAUUUAACAUCCGAAGCAGUAAUAGGAUGAAUAGAAAUAUAUCCUUCACAUUUGUUCGCUUCAAUUUUCAUUUCAAAAUUUACAAUGUUCAAAUACAGUUUUGACAUUUUGUUUGAUUAAAAACCCAACAUAUUCUGAAAUUGGUAAAAAAAAAUGUUGCAUUAAAAAAAUGUUUAUGAGAAAAAUACUGUAUAACACAACAUGAGUAUGUCAAACCAACGUUCAGAUGAGGACUGUUUUGUCAUUUGCAAAAUACUUAUCAGAUUUGACCCCAGACGAUCAUGUGACAUUUCACUACGGUAAAGCAAUCAUAACAGAUCAGAACAAAAGGAAAGCCCUUCAACAUGUUCAACGUCAUAUAAAGAACAAUAUUCAGAAAGCAAAACGGUUCCAACGCCAAGGUAGAACACUUUUAUGGAGUCGGCAUUAAUUCAAAUAUACACGCACUACAAAUGAAAAGUAAAAUCACAAAAAUACUGAACUCAGAGGAAAAUCAAUUCGGAAAGUCCAUAAUCACAUGGCAAAAUCAAAUAACAAAACGCAUCAAAAACGAAUGGACAAGAAUGUCAUUUCCUGACUUGGUACAGCAUUUCAAUGUAGAAAAUGGUGGAUUGAACCUGGUUUUAUAGUUUUAAACCUAAGUACUUUCAGAAUAACAAUAACGUUAAAGGAUCUUUAUAAGUGAACAUCGAUAUUGAUAAUGAAUUUAUAAAUGACUAGAACAAACCCGCGCGGAUACGUGACUGAAUGAAGUACAUACGCUUAUAUUCACCCUGGAAUUUUAAAAUUCGUAUUUUCAUCUGAUAAAGUCAUGCUAAUUAUAAGGUGCAUAAUUUUCUCUGCUUUCAUAAUCUUUCUGUUUGAAUCCGCUUGGUUUUCUUACUACAGUAUGUCCUAACCGGUUUCAACUUCGUUGCCAUGACAUUUGUGUGGCAUCAGGGGUGACCUUAUCCUUUUUUUUACCUCACCUGGCCGACAGGGCUUUUCUCUCGCUUGACGUCUGUCGUCCGUCGUCGUCGUCCGUCGUUAACUUUUACAAAAAUAUUCUCCUCUGAAACUACUGGGCCAUAUUUAACCAAACUUGGCCACAAUCAUCAUUUGGGUAUCUAGUUUAAAAAAUGUGUCCGAUGACACGGCUAACCGACCAAGAUGGCCGCCAUGGCUAAAAAUUGGACCUCGAUAUUUUAGUAGAAUAGAUGUAUCAUACAUCCACGUCAAGGAGGUAAAUUGUUGACUUAGGUUUAUCGUUUUAAUAGUUUUGCUCGUUUCAAGAGAUUGUAUUUUGAAAUUCAUUGCUGUGUUCGUAUUUAAAAAAAAAAUCAUUAGUCAAGCCAUGCGAAUUUUUCUUAUACUAAAAUCUGUUACACAAUGACUUAUAACAUAUUUACCCAAAGAUAAUUAGGAAUAUAUACAAUCAUGGUAGAAAUGCACACACACUAUGCGUGAUUAGUAGAUAAAAGAAUGAUAUUGACUUUAAAUCUGUUUAAGGCUUAUAAUAUUCAGUCCAUUAUAAUUCCUUAUACACAAACAGUGUACUAUAAAGCAUUCUUCUAAAUUAACAAAAAGACAAAAAGACAAAAAUACAGAAAGUAUCGAUCUACGAGUACUCGCGGCUACUGAAAUCUAGCUCACUGUCCAGUUUCAACUAAUAAAAAAACAAUGUUUGCUUCAACUAAACAAGGGAUAAAAACACCUACUUAAAAAAAAAAUACAGCGGACGGUUGUCAAAAUUUCGGUGUCUCAGUAAAUAUACGGAUUCAGUUUUCAUAGGGAAAUAUUCAUAGAAUAUUUGUGAGAAAAUUUCUGCAGAGUUCUCCGUUCAACAGCCUUUUAUACAAAUGCAAAAAAUGACCCUUAUAAUUGCAUCGUCUCGGCAAAUGUCGGUACUAAAAAGUUCAAUUUCUAAUGAUAUGUUUAAGUAACAAAAAGCAAAAUAACAAAAAUACCGCACUCCAAGGGAAAUUCAAAACGGAAAGUCCUUUAUGAAAUGACAAAAUAACAAGCCCAAGCACUUCAAACGAAUGUAAAACAACUGUCAUAUUACUGACUUGGUACAGACAUUUCCUAAUGUAGAAAAUGGUGGAUUAAACCUGAGUUAAAAGCUAGAUAAACCUCUCACUUGUAUGGUAGUAUUAGUGUUUCAAUGGCUACUAUUUACAAUCAAUUCCAUGAUUGACAUGUCGUAACUAAAACGUGAGCCGCCAUAUUGAACUGCUGAAAUACACAGAUUUUCGAUAAAUACAAUGAAAUCAACAAUAAAACAACAUCUACCAAUAAACGUUGUAUUAAUAGAAAAUUAUCCGAAUUUAUAUGGUACAUGUUAAAGCAUAACCUUCAGCUUUAUAGUUUUCAUUCGUAUGACGUCAUGUAUUGCAAUGACAUUAUUGUUUUAAAAAGCAUUAUGAAAUUUCGCGUAUGUUUUUUUCACCAGUAAAACUUCACUUACCCCGAGGGUAUCACCAGCCCAGUAGCCAGGACUUCGGUAGGCAUGAAAAUACGAUUUUUUUGUGUUAUAAAUUUGCAGUUACAAAAUAGAAAUUAUUAUAAAUUUAGAAUGUAUCUCCCUCAUGCAAACUUGAUUCUUUCACGGAUUUCUAUACUUUUUGGAACCUUUUGGUAAAUAGCUCUUGUCUUUUACAUAAGCUUGAUUUCAAAUAUUUUGGACACGAGCAUCACUGAAAGACAUGUAUUGUCGAAAUGCGCAUCUGGUGCAGAAAAUUGGUACCGUUAAUUUUAUUACUACCACUGGGUCGAUGCUUCUGUGGUGGACUUAGUCCCCAAGGGUAUCACCGCCCAUUAGCCAUACUUCGGUACUGGCAUGAAAAUACGGAUUUUUGAAGAGACAUGUAUUGUCGAAAUGCGCAUCUGGUGCAAGAAAAUUGGUACCGUUAAUUUUAUUUUAUUGCAACCGUCUCAUGUCCAACUCCAGCACUGCUUUUCUUAAUUUUAGAUAGAAGAACCAAACGAUAUUACAUGUCUAUUAUUUUUUAUUUUCCACAGUAUAAAAUACUAGUUAAAAAGUCCACACACUUUAUAAGUUAUAAUUGAAAAUAGGUCAGCAGUAGCAGGAAUAACUGUACUGAAGUUGAAGAGUAGCCACCGUCAAUUGGACAUUCAACGAUCGCAAAUGCAGUUUUACUGGCGUAAACAAUCAGCGAAGGUUCGCAAGUAGAAGCCCGUAUAAAAAUCAACCUGAACUUUUAGUCCUGUACAAAGCAGCUGUCAUAUUCAUAUCACAUUUAUAUUUGGUAGUCUGAAUAUGAUUGUCAUAUUUGCCACUGGACAUUUAACAUCAAUUCAUAAUUAUCAUCGCCAUUAUCAACCUUCAUCAGUCACUAUAUUUAUGUUGAGUGUUUUCAUUCUUUUAAGUUUUGUACAUUUCUAAGUCAUUAUUUCUUUCUUUCCAAGAACACAGUGAUUGUACCCAAAGUCCACUGUUUUAAACAGUUCAUGAAAAUUAAACAAAUUCCACCUGCAUUUUCUUAUAAGAAUUUUAGAUAUUUAUAUUCUUUUUGGACAAAUAGUAUACAAGAUAUAGAAAAUUCUACUAGAUAUAACUCAAAAUGUGGACACUUUUAUGUUAAGGGUGUCAUUUAUUUUCAUUUAUUUUCAUUUAUUUUCUGUUUGACAGUUUUAUUUUUUUCAACUAGAUCAAAUCCCUGCUUUACCUUUAAAUUCAUGAACCAUUUCUAUUUCUAUUUAAGUUUCAUGUUACCAUAUAUUCAAAUGUUAAUUUUAAAUAAGUCUCCAUCAACGGAAAUUUGAAUCUUUGAUCCAUUCUUUAAUUGUUCUCGUUCUAAGUAAUCAUGAACUGUUUGCAACUAGAGGUUAUGUAAAGAACAAUCAAACUAUUAAUUACACAAGCAUUUUGCGUGAAAGUUAUUUUUAUCAGAUGGCAGUUAAUAAAUGUAUAUUUUGAUACAUACAAACAUGAAAUCUUCUUUUCUAAUAUUUGUGACAGGAUCAUGACAGAUAAUCAGAGUAUUUGUGGUGUUUGUGAAAAUCGUCAGAUAACCAAACCAUCAAUAAUGUGGUGCUUUAACUGUGAAGAACAACUAUGUGAAGAUUGCAAGGAACAUCAUAGUAUUUCUAAGGGAACAAAAAACCAUAAAACCGUUUCCAUCGACGAAUACAAGAAGUUACCUACCGAGGUCACGAAAAACGCAAUGGUCAGCACAAAACAGAAUGAGAAAUACGAGGUUUUCUGUAGAAAAUACGAUUUUCAGAGACGGAAAGACGAACAAGCACAAAUUAGUGUACCUUAUCCCACCAAAAGUAUCGAUAACCUGACGGUGACGUUACACAAACGUAUCAAUACACGGUUGUCCAUGGUCCGAGGUUGUUCUUUGCUCCCUGAUGGCAGGAUGGUUUUCUCUUGUUAUGCCCAAGACAAGAUAAGAGUAUUCAGGUCUGAUGGAUUCAAAGAUUUUGAAAUAAACAAUAUCGGUUGUACGUUUGAUGUGAUAUUUAUCGGUAAUAAUUGUGCUGCUGUUACAUCUGGCAAAUCAUAUAGGAUAAACAUAAUCAACACGAAGAACAAACAAGUGAAAAAAACAAUAGAAGUGAAUCCACAAAACGAUGGAGUAGCAUACAAAAAUGGCCAUUUGAUUUAUUGUGCCGAGAAGAAAGGAUUACAGGUGAUUAGUCUUAAAAAUCUAUCCGUUACAAAUAUUAUCAAUAAAGAACUUCCGAACCGUGCCUACGUUGCAGCAUUUAGUAACAAACUGUUCUACACAAACAGAGAAAAUGACAGUGUAACCUGUUGUGAUUACCAUGGCAACAUACUGUGGAUGUUCUGUAAUAGAACUGUUCUGAGUCAUCCACUCGGUAUAUCUGUAGACAAUGAUGGUAACGUGUUUGUAGUUGGAUUUGGAUCUAACAAUGUGGUCGUCAUCUCGUCUGAUGGACAACACUACAGGCAAAUUUUAUCACCUGAAGAUGGACUGUUCAGACCGCAAGUUCUGCAUUAUGACCAAUCUGAUAAAAAAUUGUUAGUUGCUAAUAGGGCCAAAGAUGCGUUCUUGUUUAGAGUUAAAUGAUACGUAGUGAUGAUUGAUAUUCCCUGUAUUUAGAUAACCUUACAAAACAAUACUUUGAAUUAUUUGGUGUUGUCUGAUUUGGUUUCUUUUAUAGAAUUUGUUAAUUGAGACCAUGUA